GCUUGCCCACUUGGGCAGAAGGAUCCUCCUCGGAUCAUCACCGAAGACAAACAAUGAGGAGGAGGAGUCUGAGUGCCACACUGUUAAAUUAGAGCUUAUCAUUCCAGUGAAGAAAAGACAACUUGAUGAGAACCUUCCAUAUGCCUCUCUUCAUAUCAUUUCUUCUGUCAGCAUGAUAUGGCCAACCCAUUCUCCAAACAAGCAGGCACCAUCUCUUGUGGUCUAUAUGGUGUAAUACUUCAACAGACUGCUGCCUGAAAUUGCAAUAUGUGAGGAUAAAAAGAAGAAAAUGCACAUGGCCUUCUCCCUGCAGAAAUAAAUAUGGGCUUAGAUGCCCUCCCUCCACUCUGUCAGAAAAUGAAUGUAGAAAUAGGAAAGGGUUUUGGUUAAAUGUUAGAAAUCACUCUCUGGUUGUAAGGAAGGUGGAAAUUUGGUAGACUCCAUCAAAGUCUCAGAGCUCUUGAAAGAAAGGGUAAACACACAGCAGGAGUUCCACCAUCACAGCUGAUCCUGCCUAGGGGCCAAGCUGAUCGCCCUGCAAUGUCUACUCUAGCCCUAAGUGCUGGGAGUUAGUUUAUAUCCUCACCAUUUUACUGGGUUAGACAAUAAACUCUGGUAU